rnacentral:rRNA from 1 species
UACGGAGGGUGCAAGCGUUAUCCGGAUUCACUGGGUUUAAAGGGUGCGUAGGAGGGCAGGUAAGUCAGUGGUGAAAUCUCCAAGCUUAACUUGGAACUGCCGUUGAUACUAUCUGUCUUGAAUACCGUGGAGGUGAGCGGAAUAUGUCAUGUAGCGGUGAAAAUGCUUAGAUAUGACAUAGAACACCAAUUGCGAAGGCAGCUCGCUACACGAAUAUUGACUCUGAGGCACGAAAAGCGUGGGGAUCAAACAGG